rnacentral:rRNA from 1 species
UACAGAGGUCCCAAGCGUUGUUCGGAUUCAUUGGGCGUAAAGGGUGCGUAGGUGGCGCUGUAAGUCGGGUGUGAAAUUUCGGAGCUUAACUCCGAAACUGCAUUCGAUACUGCUCUGCUCGAGGACUCGAGAGGAGAUUGGAAUUCACGGUGUAGCAGUGAAAUGCGUAGAUAUCGUGAGGAAGACCAGUGGCGAAGGCGGAUCUCUGGAGAGUUCCUGACGCUGAGGCACGAAGGCCAGGGGAGCAAACGGG